AAAAAAGCAUUUGUCUCCUCAGAGAUUCAGGUUUCAGAGAAUGGAAGCCCGGUAGAAUCUGUCUGGGUAAGAAUUCAAGGAGAGAACAACAGAAAGGACACCAUUGUAGGAGUUUAUUAUAGGCCCCCUGGACAAACAGAAGAUAUGGAUGCUCUCUUUCUAGAUCAGAUGGCUAAACUCUCAAGAAAGCAUGACAUAGUGCUUAUGGGAGAUUUUAACUAUCCAGACAUUUGUUGGGAAUCCCUCUCAGGCAAAAGUCACAAGUCUAAUAAGUUCUUAUCCUCUCUUGCUGACAACUUCAUCUACCAAAAGAUGGAGGAGAAAACAAGAGGACUGGCUAUCCUCGAUCUAAUUCUUACCAACAGAGAGGAAAUGGUUGAGGAAAUCAGAGUUUCUGGGACCUUAGGAGGCAGUGACCAUGCUAUCCUUAAAUUCUGGAUAAUAAGGGAAGGAAAGCCUGAGAGGACUCAGACUUCAAAGUUGGACUUCAGACGGGCGGAUUUUGAUGGACUCAGAAGGAGGGUAGGAAGGAUAAAAUGGUUGAAUGUACUAAAGGAUAGAAAUGUCCAAGAAGGAUGGGAUACUUUGCGAAAUGCAAUACUAGAAGCACAGUCUUUAACAAUUCCUCAAAGAAAGAAGAACGGGAAGCAUCUAAAGAGACCAGGGUGGAUAAACCCAAAACUUAAAAACUUGCUAAAGAGGAAAAAAGAAAUGUUCAAGAAAUGGAAGGAGGGGNAUAUAUCUAAAGAAGAAUAUAAUGUAGUCUGCACAAACUGCAGGGCAAGUAUCAGAAAAGCUAAAGCUAGAAAUGAAUUGAGGCUUGCAAGAGAGACUAAAAACAAUAAAAAGGGGUUUGGGGGAUAUGUCAAAAGCAAAAGAAAAGUUAAAGAGGCUAUAGGAUGUUUACAGAGUGAAAAUGGUGAAUUGAUAAAAAAUGAUAUUGAGAAGGCUGAGCUUCUGAACUCCUAUUUUGUAUCUGUUUUCUCUAAGAAAGAUAGCGUAGCAGCGACUGACCUUCGUUGUGCUAGUGAAGGAAUAAGAGAAUCAAAGCACAUAAUCGAAACAGAGAGGGUAAGGGAAUACUUAGCUAAUUUAAAUGAAUUUAAGUCUCCAGGUCCAGAUGGAUUACAUCCUAGGGUACUGAAGGAAUUAGCAGGGGUUAUUGCUGAACCACUUGCUGUAAUCUUUG
ensembl:lncRNA